rnacentral:rRNA from 1 species
AUUGAACGCUGGCGGCAGGCCUAACACAUGCAAGUCGAACGGUAACAGGAAGCAGCUUGCUGCUUUGCUGACGAGUGGCGGACGGGUGAGUAAUGUCUGGGAAACUGCCCGAUGGAGGGGGAUAACUACUGGAAACGGUAUCUAAUACCGCAUAACGUCGCAAGACCAAAGAGGGGGACCUUAGGGCCUCUUGCCAUCGGAUGUGCCCAGAUGGGAUUAGCUAGUAGGUGGGGUAACGGCUCACCUAGGCGACGAUCCCUAGCUGGUCUGAGAGGAUGACCAGCCACACUGGAACUGAGAAACGGUCCAGACUCCUACGGGAGGCAGCAGUGGGGAAUAUUGCACAAUGGGCGCAAGCCUGAUGCAGCCAUGCCGCGUGUAUGAAGAAGGCCUUCGGGUUGUAAAGUACUUUCAGCGGGGAGGAAGGGAGUAAAGUUAAUACCUUUGCUCAUUGACGUUACCCGCAGAAGAAGCACCGGCUAACUCCGUG